rnacentral:rRNA from 1 species
CUUUCUUUGCUGGCGACCGGCGCACGGGUGAGUAACACGUAUCCAACCUGCCCUUUACUCGGGGAUAGCCUUUCGAAAGAAAGAUUAAUACCCGAUAGCAUAAUGAUUCCGCAUGGUUUCAUUAUUAAAGGAUUCCGGUAAAGGAUGGGGAUGCGUUCCAUUAGGUUGUUGGUGAGGUAACGGCCCACCAAGCCUUCGAUGGAUAGGGGUUCUGAGAGGAAGGUCCCCCGCAUUGGAACUGAGACACGGUCCAA